rnacentral:rRNA from 1 species
CGUGAGUGAUGAAGGCUUUCGGGUCGUAAAGCUCUGUCAAGUGGGAAGAAACCAUAUGGUGUUAAUACCGCCAUAUGCUGACGGUACCACUGAAGGAAGCACCGGCUAACUCCGUGCCAGCAGCCGCGGUAAUACGGGGGGUGCGAGCGUUAUUCGGAUUUACUGGGCGUAAAGAGCGCGUAGGCGGUCUUUCAAGUCAGGUGUGAAAGCCCGGGGCUCAACCCCGGAAGUGCACUUGAAACUAAAAGACUUGAGUAUGGGAGAGGGAAGUGGAAUUCCUGGUGUAGCGGUGAAAUGCGUAGAUAUCAGGAGGAACAUCGGUGGCGAAGGCGACUUCCUGGACCAAUACUGACGCUGAGGCGCGAAGGCGUGGGGAGCAAACAGGAUUAGAUACCCUGGUAGUCCACGCAGUAAACGGUGAACACUAGGUGUAGCGGGUAUUGACCCCUGCUGUGCCGCAGCAAACGCAUUAA